AGAUUCUGUAAGAUUUAAAUUUGUUAAUUUGCAGUUUAGACCUUAAUCCAGCUCGAAUUCUGUUUCCGAACGGCCCAAGAGGUUUACGGCGAGUUUUUGACCCGAGGCGGCGAGGUGUUCAGCGAGAUCUUCGUUGAGUGAACUUUCGGUGUUUGAGGUAGAACGAUUGACCGCUUUAGAAAGGGUUAUUCAUAUCAAAUUCACAACAGCCACUGCAGCUUGCUCGAGUUUGAAUUUAGAACAAUGAGCCUGAUUUCUCAAAACACCGGCACUAAAUUCCUUGAAAAUAGAGAUGCUGACGAAGAUGUUGAUGCUGGAGGGUCUUCACCCUGCAAGGAUACUGUAGAAAAGGAACCCAAAUUAAGCAGGUUCAAGAGAAGUAAAAAGAGAAAUAGGACAUAUAAUAAAUAUCAAAAGGCUUCUAGAAUGGAGGAAGAGGAGAAAGAAAUCAAGAAACUUGAGAGCUUCUUAUUUGGAGGCCUCAACUCAUCAAUCCAAUUUGGUAAGGAGAUUGCUGGCGACGAUAAUGAAAGGCCACUCCCUUUGUUUUUUCUGGAUAAAUCUGCUGGUGAUGACAUGAUAGUUUAUAAAGAGGACAUUUGCCAAGAUAGCAAAGAGAGAAAGCCUGUGUGGGUUGAUGAAGAAGAGGAAAGAACAGAGGUUAACAUAUUGUCUGUGAGAAGGCUGAGGAAGCUGAGGAAGGAGGCUGAUGAGAAAUUGAUUUCAGGUGCUGAAUAUGUUUCCAGAUUGCGUGCUCAACAUGCGAAGCUGAACCCGCGAACGGAUUGGGCUGAGGUUAACCAAAAGAGCGGCGAGGUUUUCACAUCCGACGAUGAAUCUAAUGAUGAAAGUGGUAUCACAAAUGCUCCUGGUUAUGGUGAUGCGGAAGGAGACGACGUUCUUCGUGGCAAUUAUGAGCUUAUCGACAAGAGUUCAGUUAAGUUACUUCCUGGAAUAUUGGAGUAUUCAAGGCUGAUGAAUGCCAAUUCUGAGGAACCGUCUAAUGGUCCUAUAAACUCAGUUCAGUUCCAUAGAAAUGGGAAGCUGUUAUUAACUGCAGGUUUGGACAAGCGGCUGAGGUUUUUCCAAAUUGAUGGAAAACGCAACACUUCGGUUCAAAGCAUUUUUAUGGAAGACUUCCCAACUAGAAAGGCUUCAUUCUUACCUAAUGGUUCUCAUGUUAUUUUGUCUGGCAGAAGAAAGUUCUUCUAUGUUUUUGAUUUGGUAAAAGCUGCAGUUGAUAAGAUAGGUCCUUUGACUGGAAGAGAAGAGAAAAGUUUGGAACUUUUUGAGGUUUCUCCAGAUUCCAACACUGUCGCCUUUAUCGGCAACGAAGGUUAUAUUCUUUUGGUUUCUACAAAAACCAAGGAGUUGAUCGGAACGCUGAAGAUGAACGGAACCGCUCGAUCAUUGGCCUUCGUUGACGACGGACGGCAACUAAUUAGCGGCGGCGGCGACGGGCAUAUUUAUCAUUGGGAUCUUAGACUAAGAAGAUGCAUUCAUAAGGGUGUUGAUGAGGGCUGUAUAACAACUACUUCAUUGUCUGCUUCACCUGAUAGCAGCUUAUUUGCAGCAGGCUCUAGUAGUGGAAUAGUAAAUAUAUACAGAAGAGAUAAUUUUCUUGGAGGAAAGAAGAAGCCGUUGAAAAGUAUUGAAAACCUAACCACAACGGUCAACUUUUUGAAAUUUAAUCAGGAUGCUCAGAUAUUGGCCAUAUGUUCACAUAUGAAGAAGGAUAGUUUGAAAUUGAUUCACAUACCUUCUUUUAAUGUAUUUUCAAAUUGGCCGCCUAGGUCUGGGUUGCAGUAUCCUCGCUGUGUGGAUUUCAGUCCUGGUGGAGGUUUCAUGGCUAUUGGAAAUGCGGCUGGAAAAGUACUUUUAUAUAAGCUGAAUCAUUAUCAAAAUGCUUGAUCAGAAGAAGCAAAUUGUUCUAUAUCGCAUUGGUUUGCUCAUCAGGAUCUUAUUGAGGAAGUGGUGGUGGUUGUGUACGAGUUUCAAGUGAUACCUGGCAUGGACUACGAUGAUGAUGACUAUAGAGAAAACAGAUAGUUGGAGGUCAAGUCAAUCGAUAGGAGUUGUUGCAUCUUGUGGGUGCAUUAAAGUGUAAUUUGUUCGGGGUUUUAAUUUAGGAUUUAAGUAAGUUUUAAUAAAAAAAAAAUGUAUAAAUAGGGUGAGGCAUAAUCCUCUGGUCAAUGAGGCGUGGGGUGCCUCAAGGCGGGCCUCAGCCAACCUGAUGUGCAAGCUUUAUAAAAAAAGUUAGGCGUAAGCCUUGAUGCA